rnacentral:rRNA from 1 species
CCAGCAGCCGCGGUAAUUCCAGCUCCAAUAGCGUAUAUUAAAGUUGUUGCAGUUAAAAAGCUCGUAGUUGGAUUUCUGUUAAUACCUUAUAUAUAAUAUUUUUUUUUAAAUAUUAUUAUGUAAGAUUAACAUAAUUCAUAUUUUUUAAGACUGAAUUUUUAGUUUUGAUAAUAUGAAAUUUUACUUUGAGAAAAUUAGAGUGCUUAAAGCAGGCUUUUGCCUUGAAUACUCCAGCAUGGAAUAAUAAUAAAAGAUUUUUAUCUUUUUUUUAUUGGUUCUAAGAUAAAAAUAAUGAUUAAUAGGGACAGUUGGGGGCAUUUGUAUUUAACAGUCAGAGGUGAUAUUCUUAGAUUUGUUAAAGACAAACUAAUGCGAAAGCAUUUGCCAAGGAUGUUUUCAUUAAUCAAGAACGAAAGUUAGGGGAUCGAAGACGAUCAGAUACCGUCGUAGUCUU